rnacentral:misc_RNA from 1 species
UCGUAACAAGGUUUCCGUAGGUGAACCUGCGGAAGGAUCAUUACCGAGUGUAGGGUUCCUAGCGAGCCCAACCUCCCACCCGUGUUUACUGUACCUUAGUUGCUUCGGCGGGCCCGCCAUUCAUGGCCGCCGGGGGCUCUCAGCCCCGGGCCCGCGCCCGCCGGAGACACCACGAACUCUGUCUGAUCUAGUGAAGUCUGAGUUGAUUGUAUCGCAAUCAGUUAAAACUUUCAACAAUGGAUCUCUUGGUUCCGGCAUCGAUGAAGAACGCAGCGAAAUGCGAUAACUAGUGUGAAUUGCAGAAUUCCGUGAAUCAUCGAGUCUUUGAACGCACAUUGCGCCCCCUGGUAUUCCGGGGGGCAUGCCUGUCCGAGCGUCAUUGCUGCCCAUCAAGCACGGCUUGUGUGUUGGGUCGUCGUCCCCUCUCCGGGGGGGACGGGCCCCAAAGGCAGCGGCGGCACCGCGUCCGAUCCUCGAGCGUAUGGGGCUUUGUCACCCGCUCUGUAGGCCCGGCCGGCGCUUGCCGAACGCAAAUCAAUCUUUUUCCAGGUUGACCUCGGAUCAGGUAGGGAUACCCGCUGAACUUAAGCAUAUCAAUAAGCGGAGGA